CCCUUCUUUUAAAAGCACCGUGCUAAAAUCGCCAGCUCAAGGCCUUCGGGCCUUGCUCUGGUGUUUAUGCUAGUACUGGUUAAUCUUAAAGAAGGAAGAGCAAAAGCAAUGAGUCUAGGGCAGACCUCUUUCUUAAUGUCUGGUGUCCAAGAUCUAGAGAUUUUGUGCCUUACAU
rnacentral:snoRNA from 1 species